rnacentral:rRNA from 1 species
UCUUGGGUAGGGGAGCGUUCCUUGUGCAGCGAAGUCGAACUGGAAGGUUCGGUGGAGCGCAAGGAAGUGAGAAUGCCGGUAUGAGUACACGAAAAGGCAGGUGAGAAUCCUGCCCGCCGAAAGCCUAAGGGUUCCUGGGGAAGGCUCGUCCACCCAGGGUAAGUCGGGACCUAAGCCGAGGCCGAAAGGCGUAGGUGAUGGACAACAGGUGGAGAUUCCUGUACCACGUUGCAUCGUUUGACCGAUGGGGGGACACAGGAGGAUAAGUGAACCGUGCGACUGGUCGUGCACGGCUAAGGACGGUAGCGGUGUUCCAGGCAAAUCCGGAACACAAUACGCGAAGGUCUGAUGGGGAGCGAAAAUAAGUAGCGAAGUCACUGAUUCCAUACUGUCAAGAAAAGCCUCUAGGGAGACGUAACGUGCCCGUACCGCAAACCGACACAGGUAGGCGAGGAGAGAAUCCUCAGGCGCGCGAGCAAACCCUCGUUAAGGAACUCGGCAAAAUGACCCCGUAACUUCGGGAGAAGGGGUACUCUCCGCAAGGAGAGUCGCAGUGAAGAGGCCCAGGCGACUGUUUAGCAAAAACACAGGUCCCUGCCAAACCGAAAGGUGACGUAUAGGGGCUG